rnacentral:lncRNA from 1 species
AUUUAUGUAAUUAUAAAUUUAUUAAAAUAAGUAAUUAAUAUAAAUUUUGUAUCCGAAGAGCCAUCAAAUUAUUUAAAUCAAACAAAUUGGAAGCUUAAAUACUAAAAUCAAAAUUGGAAAGAUUAGAUAGUCAAAUCAAAAUGAUUAAUAGUUAAGAUAAGUUUUGUAUAUUUUUAUUUGAAUUAAAUAUAUUGUUCUUCGGAGUUUAUAAGUAUAGAGCGACUAUGUUAUCAGAAGCAUAGAGGGUUUUAUACUUCCGACUUUCCAACCCUUGGAUCAAGAAUAGUUUGGUUGGGAGGAUUGCAGUCCCCCCUAGGGUUGAAUAGUACUCAUAGGAUUGAGUGGUCCCUACAGGGUAAUAGCAUUAAUCCAAAGGUUAGAAAUGAUCAAAUGGGUUAAUCUAAGGGCCAAAAAGUCGGAAGCACCAAAUACUCUACACUUCCGAUAGUAUAGUAGCUCUCCUCAGUUUAUAAUAAUAUUACUGUCUAAUUAAAAUACUCCCUAUUAUCCUGUUAGUAAAA